UGGGGAAUAUUGCGCAAUGGGGGGAACCCCGACGCAGCCAUGCCGCGUGAAUGAAGAAGGCCUUCGGGUUGUAAAGUUCUUUCGGUAUUGAGGAAGGUUGAUGUGAUAAUAGCACAUCAAAUUGACGUUAAAUACAGAAGAAGCACCGGCUAACUCCGUGCCAGCAGCCGCGGUAAUACGGAGGGUGCGAGCGUUAAUCGGAAUAACUGGGCGUAAAGGGCACGCAGGCGGUUAUUUAAGUGAGGUGUGAAGGCCCCGGGCUUAACCUGGGAAUUGCAUUUCAGACUGGGUAACUAGAGUACUUUAGGGAGGGGUAGAAUUCCACGUGUAGCGGUGAAAUGCGUAGAGAUGUGGAGGAAUACCGAAGGCGAAGGCAGCCCCUUGGGAAUGUACUGACGCUCAUGUGCGAAAGCGUGGGGAGCAAACAGGAUUAGAUACCCUGGUAGUCCACGCUGUAAACGCUGUCGAUUUGGGGGUUGGGGUUUAACUCUGGCGCCCGUAGCUAACGUGAUAAAUCGACCGCCUGGGGAGUACGGCCGCAAGGUUA
rnacentral:rRNA from 1 species